UACCAGCUCUCCGAGUGGUGUGGAUGUUUAUUGGGCCUAAAGCAUCCGUAGCUGGCUAAGUUAGUCCCCUGUUAAAUCCAACGAAUUAAUCGUUGGAUCGCGGGGGAUACUGCUUGGCUAGGGGACGAGAGAGGCAGACGGUAUUUCCGGGGUAGGGGUGAAAUCCUAUAAUCCCGGGAAGACCACCAGUGGCGAAGGCUGUCUGCUAGAACGCGCCCGACGGUGAGGGAUGAAAGCUGGGGGAGCGAACCGGAUUAGAAACCCGGUAGUCC
rnacentral:rRNA from 1 species